AAAGAAUAAGCCAUGCAUGUCUAAGUAUAAGCAAUCUAUACGGUGAAACUGCGAAUGGCUCAUUAAAUCAGUUAUCGUUUAUUUGAUAGUACCUUACUACUUGGAUAACCGUGGUAAUUCUAGAGCUAAUACAUGCUAAAAACCUCGACUUCGGAAGGGGUGUAUUUAUUAGAUAAAAAACCAAUGCCCUUCGGGGCUCCUUGGUGAUUCAUAAUAACUUAACGAAUCGCAUGGCCUUGUGCCGGCGAUGGUUCAUUCAAAUUUCUGCCCUAUCAACUUUCGAUGGUAGAGUAGUGGUCUACCAUGGUUU
rnacentral:rRNA from 1 species